ACUAUGCAGUUGUCCUGGUACCUGACAGGUAUCUCACCUUGACACAGUAGGCUAUGCAGUUGUCCUGGUACCUGACAGGUAUCUCACCUUGACACAGUAGGCUAUGCAGUUGUCCUGGUAGUGACAGGUAUCUCACCUUGACACAGUAGGCUAUGCAGUUGUCCUGGUACCUGACAGGUAUCUCACCUUGACACAGUAGACUAUGCAGUUGUCCUGGUACCUGACAGGUAUCUCACCUUGACACAGUAGGCUAUGCAGUUGUCCUGGUACCUGACAGGUAUCUCACCUUGACACAGUAGGCUAUGCAGUUGUCCUGGUAGUGACAGGUAUCUCACCUUGACACAGUAGGCUAUGCAGUUGUCCUGGUACCUGACAGGUAUCUCACCUUGACACAGUAGGCUAUGCAGUUGUCCUGGUACCUGACAGGUAUCUCACCUUGACACAGUAGGCUAUGCAGUUGUCCUGGUAGUGACAGGUAUCUCACCUUGACACAGUAGGCUAUGCAGUUGUCCUGGUACCUGACAGGUAUCUCACCUUGACACAGUAGACUAUGCAGUUGUCCUGGUACCUGACAGGUAUCUCACCUUGACACAGUAGACUAUGCAGUUGUCCUGGUACCUGACAGGUAUCUCACCUUGACACAGUAGGCUAUGCAGUUGUCCUGGUACCUGACAGGUAUCUCACCUUGACACAGUAGGCUAUGCAGUUGUCCUGGUAGUGACAGGUAUCUCACCUUGACACAGUAGACUAUGCAGUUGUCCUGGUAGUGACAGGUAUCUCACCUUGACACAGUAGACUAUGCAGUUGUCCUGGUACCUGACAGGUAUCUCACCUUGACACAGUAGACUAUGCAGUUGUCCUGGUAGUGACAGGUAUCUCACCUUGACACAGUAGACUAUGCAGUUGUCCUGGUAGUGACAGGUAUCUCACCUUGACACAGUAGGCUAUGCAGUUGUCCUGGUACCUGACAGGUAUCUCACCUUGACACAGUAGACUAUGCAGUUGUCCUGGUAGUGACAGGUAUCUCACCUUGACACAGUAGACUAUGCAGUUGUCCUGGUAGUGACAGGUAUCUCACCUUGACACAGUAGACUAUGCAGUUGUCCUGGUACCUGACAGGUAUCUCACCUUGACACAGUAGACUAUGCAGUUGUCCUGGUAGUGACAGGUAUCUCACCUUGACACAGUAGACUAUGCAGUUGUCCUGGUAGUGACAGGUAUCUCACCUUGACACAGUAGACUAUGCAGUUGUCCUGGUAGUGACAGGUAUCUCACCUUGACACAGUAGACUAUGCAGUUGUCCUGGUACCUGACAGGUAUCUCACCUUGACACAGUAGGCUAUGCAGUUGUCCUGGUACCUGACAGGUAUCUCACCUUGACACAGUAGACUAUGCAGUUGUCCUGGUACCUGACAGGUAUCUCACCUUGACACAGUAGGCUAUGCAGUUGUCCUGGUACCUGACAGGUAUCUCACCUUGACACAGUAGACUAUGCAGUUGUCCUGGUACCUGACAGGUAUCUCACCUUGACACAGUAGACUAUGCAGUUGUCCUGGUACCUGACAGGUAUCUCACCUUGACACAGUAGACUAUGCAGUUGUCCUGGUAGUGACAGGUAUCUCACCUUGACACAGUAGACUAUGCAGUUGUCCUGGUACCUGACAGGUAUCUCACCUUGACACAGUAGACUAUGCAGUUGUCCUGGUACCUGACAGGUAUCUCACCUUGACACAGUAGACUAUGCAGUUGUCCUGGUACCUGACAGGUAUCUCACCUUGACACAGUAGACUAUGCAGUUGUCCUGGUAGUGACAGGUAUCUCACCUUGACACAGUAGACUAUGCAGUUGUCCUGGUAGUGACAGGUAUCUCACCUUGACACAGUAGGCUAUGCAGUUGUCCUGGUACCUGACAGGUAUCUCACCUUGACACAGUAGACUAUGCAGUUGUCCUGGUACCUGACAGGUAUCUCACCUUGACACAGUAGACUAUGCAGUUGUCCUGGUAGUGACAGGUAUCUCACCUUGACACAGUAGGCUAUGCAGUUGUCCUGGUACCUGACAGGUAUCUCACCUUGACACAGUAGGCUAUGCAGUUGUCCUGGUACCUGACAGGUAUCUCACCUUGACACAGUAGACUAUGCAGUUGUCCUGGUACCUGACAGGUAUCUCACCUUGACACAGUAGACUAUGCAGUUGUCCUGGUACCUGACAGGUAUCUCACCUUGACACAGUAGGCUAUGCAGUUGUCCUGGUACCUGACAGGUAUCUCACCUUGACA